rnacentral:rRNA from 1 species
GACGAACGCUGGCGGCGUGCUUAACACAUGCAAGUCGAACGGAAAGGCCCUGCUUUUGUGGGGUGCUCGAGUGGCGAACGGGUGAGUAACACGUGCGUAACCUGCCCUUGACUUUGGGAUAACUUCAGGAAACUUAGGCUAAUACCGGAUAGGAGCUCCUGCUGCAUGGUGGGGGUUGGAAAGUUUCGGCGGUUGGGGAUGGACUCGCGGCUUAUCAGCUUGUUGGUGGGGUAGUGGCUUACCAAGGCUUUGACGGGUAGCCGGCCUGAGAGGGUGACCGGCCACAUUGGGACUGAGAUACGGCCCAGACUCCUACGGGAGGCAGCAGUGGGGAAUAUUGCACAAUGGGCGGAAGCCUGAUGCAGCAACGCCGCGUGCGGGAUGACGGCCUUCGGGUUGUAAACCGCUUUCGCCUGUGACGAAGCGUGAGUGACGGUAAUGGGUAAAGAAGCACCGGCUAACUACGUG